rnacentral:rRNA from 1 species
GACUCUCGGCAACGGAUAUCUCGGCUCUCGCAUCGAUGAAGAACGUAGCGAAAUACGAUACUUGGUGUGAAUUGCAUAAUCCCGUGAACCAUCGAGUCUUUGAACGCAAAUUGCGCCCGAAGCCUUUAGGUCGAGGGCACGUCUGCCUGGGCGUCA